rnacentral:lncRNA from 1 species
GAGCGCUGAGCCGACGCCGCCCAUCUGCCUCUGCCCGCGCCUGUUUCAGCUGUUAAACACGCCCAUUUCUUCCCUUAAGAAGGAGGCUGCAAGGUGUUCUGUUUUGAAAAUGAUAAAAAAUGGCACUGAUGCUACUAAUGCUCUCUGGAUUGUAAGUGCGAGAGAUCCUGUGGUAUCUGACCGUGACCACCUUUCUUUUCACCAUGUUCCCAAAGAGCCUGCAGAACUGUGGAAAUUGGAGAAUUGUAUUUCCCUCUUGGAAAUGUGGACACGAGGAAGAGAGGCUGAGCCCUGUGCUGGUGUGCAGAGUGCUGAGGCCAAGAGCACGAUGGUUACGUGUGAGGUGGUAUUAUGGCAACACCAACUGGGAGACACGGAGAAGACGGUUGGGAAGAGCCGAGGGAGUCCUGAAAGAGAUUGCCAGCAGGAGAAAAUUAACUCAGCUCUCGUGGCCUUCCAGCUCCCAAGGCCAGUGUGCAUGAGGCUGACCCUUGUCUUCUUGAAAUGAAGUGUAACUCUUUCAAAGUAGGAAGCUGGGAAUUUUCUCCACUAGAAUCAAGGAGGAGAAUGAAAAGGCAGGAAAUAAGAACUGGGAGAUUUCUUGAGAGUGGAUAUUCUGCUAAGGUCGCUGCCUUAUAAGGGAGUCCUUGACCUGAGGUCCAUGAACUGAUGGGCUGCUGGGAGUGAUGAGCUCCUCAGAAGCUCAGGUAGACGUUUAUGGGCAUUUGUGCAUAACUGCAUUUUAUAGAGGAU